AUGUCUCAGUACAAGCCNNAUUAAGGUGAAACCGCGAAAGGCUCAUUNAAUCAGUUAUGGUUCCUUAGAUCGUACCCACACUUACUUGGAUAACUGUGGUAAUUCUAGAGCUAAUACAUGCAAACAGAGCUCCGACCGGAGACGGAAGGAGCGCUUUUAUUAGAUCAAAACCAAUCGGUGGCGGGCUCGCUCGUCAUCGUAUAACUUGGUGACUCUGAAUAACUUUAAGCUGAUCGCACGGUCUAGCACCGGCGACGCAUCUUUCAAAUGUCUGCCUUAUCAACUGUCGAUGGUAGGUUCUGCGCCUACCAUGGUCGUAACGGGUAACGGGGAAUCAGGGUUCGAUUCCGGAGAGGGAGCCUGAGAAACGGCUACCACAUCCAAGGAAGGCAGCAGGCGCGCAAAUUACCCACUCCCGGCACGGGGAGGUAGUGACGAAAAAUAACGAUACGGGACUCAUCCGAGGCCCCGUAAUCGGAAUGAGUACACUCUAAACCCUUUAACGAGGAUCAAUUGGAGGGCAAGUCUGGUGCCAGCAGCCGCGGUAAUUCCAGCUCCAAUAGCGUAUAUUAAAGUUGUUGCGGUUAAAAAGCU
rnacentral:rRNA from 1 species